AGACUUGCACCAGAUGGAAAAAAGUGUAAUAUAUUAACCAAUUCGUUGUUCCAAAUACUUGGAAAAGGGACGGAGCCCAAUAUAAAAUACGCGCCAGGAUUGCAAACAUAACAAUUGAUCGAAAUGUGGUACUCAGUGGGACGUUUCUUCGCCAGUAUGCACGAUCGAACACCAAACCAACCCAACCUCCUGUAACACCAAAGAUAAAUGAGUUGAAUGAAGAAAUAAUUCCAGGAUUUACCUAGAGAUCAAGUGGCGAAGGCCUCGUAUGGAGACUGUAAUUAACACUGGAAGUAAAUAAAUAAAUAAAA
rnacentral:lncRNA from 1 species